rnacentral:rRNA from 1 species
GACGAACGCUGGCGGCGUACUUAACACAUGCAAGUCGAACGGAAAGGCCCUGCUUUUGUGGGGUGCUCGAGUGGCGAACGGGUGAGUAACACGUGAGUAACCUGCCCUUGACUUUGGGAUAACUUCAGGAAACUGGGGCUAAUACCGGAUAGGAGCUCCUGCUGCAUGGUGGGGGUUGGAAAGUUUCGGCGGUUGGGGAUGGACUCGCGGCUUAUCAGCUUGUUGGUGGGGUAGUGGCUUACCAAGGCUUUGACGGGUAGCCGGCCUGAGAGGGUGACCGGCCACAUUGGGACUGAGAUACGGCCCAGACUCCUACGGGAGGCAGCAGUGGGGAAUAUUGCACAAUGGGCGGAAGCCUGAUGCAGCAACGCCGCGUGCGGGAUGACGGCCUUCGGGUUGUAAACCGCUUUCGCCUGUGACGAAGCGUCAGUGACGGUAAUGGGUAAAGAAGCACCGGCUAACUACGUG